ACAACCCUUCGAUCUUUCCAUCGCCGUACAAGAAGAGAGUGGUACUCGGGGUUGCUGAACGACACGACAGGCAACUGAAAAGGGUCGAACAACAAAGGCGUGUAACACCGUGUACAGCUGCACCUGAAGUUGAUUUACCCAUGGAGCGGCAACCAGCAGAGGAGCCAGCACCUGCUCCAUUAACAGCCAGUGCUUCCACCAUGACAGAAGAUGAUGGAGCAAGCUUCUCACCAUGCACCCUGUUUCUUUGCUGUAACAUGGGG